AGAACAGGCUGUUUGCUCCUUUCUGAAAGCCGACCGCCACUGGCAGCCACGAUCAGGACACAGCAAUGGGGGAAGGAGAGCAGCUGAUCAGCAUCAGUAGGGAAGAAGUCUGGGACAUGGCUCCUGCCUGGGAUGCUCCUGGCUGAUGGCAGCACCUUCUCCCCAUCCUGGGGCUGUAGGGUCACCUCCCCGCCACCAAGGUAACAUGAAGUUCACAUUGCAGUAUGCAUCACAACUUUGGUCACUGAGAGUCCUGGGAGAUGGCCGUGAAUGCUGCGGAGUGACUAGAGCUACUGGCUGCAGGCAAGUCAUGACAGCACCUUAGCUUGUCACUCCAGCAACAGAAGCAGCAACAGCCAGGCUGGGACUAGCUGUAUGAGGAACCACCACAUACAUCUUCCCUUGUGUAUCUGCACAGAGGUACAGCCACACGCAAGUCAGCAGCAGCAAGGCCAACUUCUUAAGCCACCCAACAGGUAUUUGAGCUUCUCUGGAAACAGCAUCUUCAGAUCACAGCUCAGAACCAUUGUCAGACUGAACAGACCGAACAAACAUAAUUCUAGAGACUGUAGAGCAAAUACAGCAGAUCAGAGCACAUUUCUAUAGCAAUACAGGUUGCACACAGCAGCCAAAGCAACUCACAGCAGAGACAUCUCACAGCAGAAAGCUACCCAGCUAUGGAUGCUGAGGUGAUAUAUACCCCACAGCUUGGCAUGGGGGCAAGCAGGAUUGGGCCAGAAGGAAACCGGGACAAACACAAGACUGGGCAGGAGCACAAGCCCUUUCCCUGGGUGGGCAGGAGCAGAGCAGGUGGGACUGGGCAGAAACUAGGCCUGACUGGGGGCUGGCGACCGGGGGAGUACCGUCCUCCUCUGCUCCCCAGGGACCUUGUUCUCAUAGGUCCUCCUCACAGAUGUACCCUCAUUUUCCCAGCCCACGGUCUCCCCCAUGCUGAGAAGGAUGCCCCCCUUCCCCUGAGAUCCCACACAGAUGAUGGUCCUGCUCCAGAGCAGAUGCUCCAGGGCUUGGGAUCUGGGACCCAGAGCAGCCACUGAUCUCCAGCAACCUGCAAUACCCAGGGCUUCAGAUCAAGUCCCCCUCAGCCUGGAGCCAAACCAGGAUACAGCUCCAGCUCUUCAACAGCAAAAAGCUGAAUUAGUUAAAGUCAUGUUGCCAGCUGUGUAUUUAAACAGAAAUUACAUAGGGUUUCUGUUGUGGUAAUGCACCAGGUGCUGGUAGUUCUACCAAGGCAGAUGAGGAGGAGGGGCGGUGGGUCAGGAACUGGAAGCUCCCAUCUCCUGAGAGAGGUGCUCAGGGGAAAGAGGGGCUCCUGAUUCCUGCCCUGCUCACAUGCAGGCAAGGUACCCCAGCAGUCAGCCAGCCCACAGCACCUUGCUCCUUUGAGCUCCCUGGUUCCUGCUGAGCUCUGACCACUGUGAACCUCAGGUGUGGGAAAGAAAAACAUCAUUGGGAGCACUCACAGCCACUGACUCCUACCAUACAUGCCCUGGCCACGAACCGGGAUCCUACAGCACAAGGUGCUGGCCAAAUGCAAACAUCAAAGGUGGCACCCGUGCCAAACUGCAGCCUCUUGGAGGAAGAUGUUAGGGAAGCGAUUAUGAAUUUGGAGCCUCCCGAAGCGUGUUGGCAGCUGGAUCCUCUGGAUGAAUAAAACCCUGCCAAAAAUUAA